GAUGAACGCUAGCGAUAGGCUUAACACAUGCAAGUCGAGGGGCAGCAUGGUCUUAGCUUGCUCAGACUGAUGGCGACCGGCGCACGGGUGCGUAACGCGUAUGCAACUUGCCUCACAGAGGGGGAUAACCCGUCGAAAGACGGACUAAUACCGCGUACACUCCAUCUUGGGCAUCCAAGGUAGAGGAAAUGAAAUUCGCUGUGAGAUAGGCAUGCGUCCCAUUAGCUAGUUGGUGAGGUAACGGCUCACCAAGGCGACGAUGGGUAGGGGAACUGAGAGGUUGAACCCCCACACUGGUACUGAGACACGGACCAGACUCCUACGGGAGGCAGCAGUGAGGAAUAUUGGUCAAUGGGCGAGAGCCUGAACCAGCCAAGUCGCGUGAAGGAUGACUGUCUUAUGGAUUGUAAACUUCUUUUAUACGGGAAUAACAAGAGUCACGUGUGACUCCCUGCAUGUACCGUAUGAAUAAGCAUCGGCUAACUCCGUG
rnacentral:rRNA from 1 species